UCUUCUAUGCUGACUGUCGUGUGCUGCCUGUUGUGCCCUAAGACGGGGCACAUGGAACAAGUUACCCCAGCCCCCUCUGCUGCCUUUGAUAAUCGCAGCAGUGCACUAUUGCACUGCUGAGCUGGAAACAUGAAUGGUCCGAAAAGGGGGCGGAGCUACACGGCACUUUACUCAGUGCCAGGCCAGCCAGCACCAUCGAAGAGAGGAGGGGAGAGGAGCAGCAGCAGCAGUACACACCGAAGCCUAAAUAUACGAAAGCAAGCCACCACUUCCAGAACCCAAGCAACACUGUCAAGAGCUGUGGAUGCUGGCGAUACAGGAACUUCAAUAUCGCAUCACAGUCCACAAAGACGUCCUUCACAGGGGUCUGGCAGCCACACGAGCAGGCCUAGCAAGAGACGUCAUCCUGAUGUCGCACCAACACCAGCAUUAAGCACACACCCACGUUGUAUUUCAACUGUGUUGCCUCAGCCACCAGAACACAUUUUGGAGAGUACUCAAUCACAGGGACCACAUUCCCCUCAGCUGAACCAGACAUCAUGCCCCCGGAAGCCCAGCAGGAAUCUGAACAGGAAACAUACACCCUCCAUCUGCAAGCAAUUGAUGUUAACCAACCAAGCACGCCUCAGGAAUGUACCCCGCCGCCUCAAAUGUCACCACACCCACAAUAGAGCCAAACAACCCCCCCGCAACAACCUGAACCAUCAUUUUGGGUAACAUGGAACCAACAACAGGCACAGAAUAUUGAUUGCCUACGCACACACACCCAAUACCUAAGGAAAGGAAAUAUAUAAAUUGGGCAGCGCUACAAUUGAAGUGAUUGAAAUAAACAAUUUUAAAAUUCUUUGUCAAUUUAUUAAAAAACAGAUAAAACAUGAAUAUUGUUCUCUCCUCAGAAUUAACUAGUAGAAAAAUACAUGCAUGCACCUUAAUCAGUUCAUACCCAUCUGUAUAUUUAGACCAUUAAGUGUCUGUUCCUGAAUAUAUACCCAGGUAAGUCCACAAGUCCCUCAGAAGU